GUCAAAAUAAAUAAAAAACAUUGUCCAGUAGCACCUUAGAGACCAACUAAGUUUGUUCUGGGUAUGCACACUUCUUCAGAUGGUCUCUAAGGUGCUACUGGACAAUUUUUUUUGUUUAUUUUGAC